CGUGUAGGCGGGAUUGCAAGUCAGAUGUGAAAACUGGGGGCUCAACCUCCAGCCUGCAUUUGAAACUGUAGUUCUUGAGUGCUGGAGAGGCAAUCGGAAUUCCGUGUGUAGCGGUGAAAUGCGUAGAUAUACGGAGGAACACCAGUGGCGAAGGCGGAUUGCUGGACAGUAACUGACGCUGAGGCGCGAAAGCGUGGGGAGCGAACA
rnacentral:rRNA from 1 species